GGGAAAAGAGAUGAAAAUAGCAUGGCGGUUCAGUUAAUUUGUCACGAAACCUUAAUAAGGGAGUUAUUAAAACAAAAAAAAAAAGAAGAAGGAAACGGUGCAGUGUACGUGGUAUAAACGGGUGCAGACACGGUCGUUUCAAUAAAUUAAUUUUAUCGUCGACGCUAAUUGCUGUUUUCGGCGGCAAACAAGUGAUUGACAAUUACACGGUGUUGUUUCGCAAGCGGAGACAACAAGAAUGCAAACAGGCAAUCGAAAAUAAAGCGAACUUCGCGGAAAAUGGAUGGUAAAUAAAAAAAAAAAAAUAAAAAAAUAAAUAAAAAAAAAAUGAAAAAAAAA